UACGAAGGGUGCAAGCGUUAAUCGGAAUUACUGGGCGUAAAGCGUGCGCAGGCGGUUCGCUAAGGCCGAUGUGAAAUCCCCGGGCUUAACCUGGGAACUGCAUUGGUGACUGGCGGGCUAGAGUGUGGCAGAGGGGGGUAGAAUUCCACGUGUAGCAGUGAAAUGCGUAGAGAUGUGGAGGAAUACCGAUGGCGAAGGCAGCCCCCUGGGCUAACACUGACGCUCAUGCACGAAAGCGUGGGGAGCAAACAGG
rnacentral:rRNA from 1 species